GGUGGAUGGUGCACACAGAGAUUGUAUAUAAAUGAUGUCUGUUGGACAUUUUGUUAUACACAUGGCUAGACUGUCUGCUUGUCUGUUUUCAUGAAAACCAGGAAAGUUUCACAGUGAUUGAUAGGGUGUUCUGAUCCAGACUUUGCAUGCAAAUAUCCCAUUCUUUCUUUCUCUGGGACGAUCUGGGUUCUGUUUUCCCAUGCUGUGUGAAUCCAAGGUGUGAAUCUCAGCCUAAGUGCUUCUGGGAGGAAGACGUUCAAUCUCACUGCUUGCAAUUAUAGGUGUCAAUGACGUGACGCAGCCUACUAUACGGUUUUAACGUGACCCAGUACCGAGCCAAUAACAGCCCUCUGUAUGGACUGCCAUAGCACACAGCUAUGUAAUAUCACUUGCCGUUAACUCUUUCGUUGCCAACUUAUUAAAUAUUUUUUGUUUUUAC